GAUUGCUGAAUCCAUUUAAUUAAUCGGGUUUAAAAGAUGAAUAACAAACACAAAAAUUUCUUAAUGGGCCUAAUGCUAAAAAACCAAAUAUUGAUAUCUAAACUUAACAAAUUACAGACCCAGAUUUUAAAAUAGAAUAUGCAAGGAAAAAACCCCUUUUUUUAUAAUCCAGCAAACAUACACACAUUACCCUGGUCAUGAUAAAGCAUAAUAACAGAAAUAACACUUAUACCACAAACUUCAUAAUCUCAAUCAAAUGGAAAAUCGAAAUCGAAACAUCACCCAAUCAUGUGUUCACUCAUAAGUUGCAUUCACAAGUUGCAUUCACAAAUCUAACAUGAAUAAAAAUGAUUCCUAGUUUAAAAAAUCCAACCUAGUCUCAUGAAACAAAAUCGAAAUGAAUUAAAACUCAUAAUGAAUUAAAACUCAUAAUAUUGAAAGCACAUCCUGUAAUCAUAUGGAAAUAAUCAUAAACAUCCUAACAGUGGACAUACUCUCAUAGAGAGGAAAUCAAUCAGAACUUCAAACCAGUUCGCGACCAGAUGAAUUAUCAAACACCAAAAUACAUUUAAUAUACUCAUAUCGAAAUGCAGCAGAAUAAACCAACCAUUAAAACCGAAUCAAGAGAUGAAGUUCAAAGGAAAAUCCAAAACACCAAAAUACAUUUAAUAUACUCAUAUCGAAAUGCAGCAGAAUAAACCAACCAUUAAAACCGAAUCAAGAGAUGAAGUUCAAAGGAAAAUCCAACCGUAUCUACAGCGUCAGCUCGCCCUUUUCACCGAUGACCCCGAAUCGUGCUUAAACUUUGGCUCUGUGUUCAACUCCGCUUCAGCUCUAAUCUGAAUCACGAAUCUCGUCGGUAUGGUUGCCGGUUCGUGUCGUCAAUCUGCGUUUUAACCAAGAACCGAAUGGAACCCUUCGAUACCACAAUCAACCCAAAAUCCAAUUCCAAUUGAAAACAAACGCAUAACCUGCAUAAAAAACAGACAAAUCCGACAUAACGCAACACAAGCUUCACAUAUUUGGAAGCGGAAAAACAGAGUUUGAUUCGAAAAUGUGAAUUUUGAUACGGUAGCGGCGGAAAUAGAGGGUUAUUGGUGGGAGAUUGGUCGUUUGAGGAGCGAUUGGGUGAGGAUCGGCGAUGCUUUAGUGAGAGCAUGCAGAGCGAGGGCGAAGAGGGUUUUUGCUGUUGGGUGGUGGUGACGAAAAUGAAGGGUGUUAUGGUGGGUUGGUGAGCGUGAGAGAGAUGAUCAAUGGUGUGGGUGGAGAUUCGGCGAUUGUGUUUUUGAGGUGGUGAGGGUUUGGAAGGCGAAUACGGGGAGGGUUUCGAUGAAGGCGCUGAAGGGUUUGACGGUGGUUUGAGACGAUGAAGAAUCUUAGCGGUUUGAUGGAGGUGUCGGUGGUUGUUGGUGAAGGGGUUAACGGCGGAAGGUGAAAGGAUUUAGGGCGAAGCUUGUGCAGUGGCGGCGGUGGAUUUGGGCGAUGGUUGAGAGACGACGAAGGGUUUUUUUGUUGUGGUGAGGGCGAGAGAGUGAAUCUGAGAGUGGGUUGUUGUUAGUGAGUGGAAUGAGAGUGGAGAGGUUGUUAGUAGUGGGGCAGGGACAAUGGAGAAAAACGUUAGGAAUUUGUUACUUACUGAGUUUUUGUUUUUAGUGAAU
rnacentral:lncRNA from 1 species